GUGCCUAAUACAUGCAAGUCGAACGAGUUCUCGUUGAUGAUCGGUGCUUGCACCGAGAUUCAACAUGGAACGAGUGGCGGACGGGUGAGUAACACGUGGGUAACCUGCCCUUAAGUGGGGGAUAACAUUUGGAAACAGAUGCUAAUACCGCAUAGAUCCAAGAACCGCAUGGUUCUUGGCUGAAAGAUGGCGUAAGCUAUCGCUUUUGGAUGGACCCGCGGCGUAUUAGCUAGUUGGUGAGGUAAUGGCUCACCAAGGCGAUGAUACGUAGCCGAACUGAGAGGUUGAUCGGCCACAUUGGGACUGAGACACGGCCCAA
rnacentral:rRNA from 2 species